rnacentral:tRNA from 1 species
GCCCCCAUAGCUCAACUGGUAGAGCAAUUCCCUUUUAAGGAAAAGGUUCUCCGUUCGACUCGGAGUGGGGGCA